UACGUAGGGUGCAAGCGUUAAUCGGAAUUACUGGGCGUAAAGCGUGCGCAGGCGGCUUUGCAAGACAGAUGUGAAAUCCCCGGGCUUAACCUGGGAACUGCAUUUGUGACUGCAUGGCUGGAGUGUGGCAGAGGGGGAUGGAAUUCCGCGUGUAGCAGUGAAAUGCGUAGAGAUGUGGAGGAAUACCGAUGGCGAAGGCAGCCCCCUGGGCCAAUACUGACGCUCAUGCACGAAAGCGUGGGGAGCAAACAGG
rnacentral:rRNA from 1 species